UUCUGCAGGGAAAGGGCAGCUUACAAAGUCUGCAAGUGUAGGCUUUGGGCAGAGGAGCAAACCAAGAGACAGUGAUUAGUGUGGGGCUUGGAUUUCCCUGCUGCCUAGGUCCUCCCUUUGCACCCCUCUCCCAGGCUCAGAGGUGCAUAUUUGUGCCAGGAGGAACGAAGUUUAGCCCCAUUGUCAUGGGGGCAACAUCCAAUUGCAGUGAAGACACUGCAGUGAGGCCUGGAGAAAUCUGAGAAUGGAAACCUCUGGGGAGCUUUUGGUUAAACCCAUCUCCAAGGGGCAACAUGGCAUUGUAGUCAGUUCUCCAUUCCCAACAGAGAAAUAGGUUUAUAUUUACUGUUUUCUUUCUGGUCUGGAUCAUUGUGUGUUCCAAAUGCCCAGCAAAGUGUGUGCUUUGGGUUGCUUAGGGUUAUUGCUUGUCAAAUCCAUCCUGAAGGAGGCACUUAGGGCAAGUGCUGAGGCUCCCUCUUUGUUUUUUUGGUUGGGUCGUAUCUAGAAAAGGGAGGAAUCAUAGGUGAGACCUGGGAUUUAUCCAAAAUCCUAUGCUGAGACAGUCUCCUGGGGGGCUUUGGGUGGACACAGUACUCCGGGGCUGGAGACAGCAAGGGCCUUGUGUCAGGGCAGGGAAAUUCUACAGCUAGGUCUGGAGAGGUAGAGGUGAGGACAGCCUUCCCAAAUCUGAAUGGAAUAGGAGGCAUGCAACCUGGAGAUGCAGCAAAGUUUCCCACUGAAAAUUCAAAUGACCAUACUGAGGCUCUAGUCCAGUAAUGCUGCCAGUUAAAAUUUACAUCCAAGGCACAAAGAAUCUGGCCUUCGAGACUAGAAUCAGAGGAGGCAGCUGGAUGGAGAAAAAAAUUCGGGAGACUUCCAGGCUUUAUCCUGGAGAGAAUAGGUUGACCCAUUUGGCACCUUCAUUCUGGCUGACUUCUCAGCUUCCCCUCUGAGUGGUUUUUUACACCAGGUUUUGUACCUCCUCACAGGUACGUGCUGGGCCACCACCCCGAAUGCUUCCACAUGACUUAAGGCUGCCAGGCAGGAAGAGCAGCUUGUUUGCCUGAUGAUACCCUCCACACGUCAUGCCCCAGGAGUGUGACAAUCCUAAAGUCUAGACUUGCCCGUGGAUCUCCUGCUGAGGCAGAUGCCUGUCCUGGAGUGGGAGUUGGACUGGGAUACGGGGUGCGGUGGGGGAGGAGAUUGGGCAGCAGCCUCAGGAGGAGUUUCCUUGUGUCGCUGUGCUUAGAGAGGAAUGCAACUACUUACACGGCUUUCAGCAGAGCCCCUGGCCCAACCCUGACAUGCAUCUGUGGUCAGGAAGGGCUCUUUCCUCCCCUUCCCUCUCUCCACCUGCCCUCACCCUGCUUCCUUUGCUUCAGAUGUACAGAAUUUAACCUGAACCUUUAAUGGCUGCAGGGGGACAAGAAAGUAGAGUCUGAUCCAAACAGAAUUACUGCUUUUGGUUCAGCCACACUGCUCUCCGGCAGAAUUCUGAGUGCUAUACCAAUUCUAGGUCUUGUCAUUCUGUUUGCAGUUUAGACACAAGGUCUGGGCUUCCUUGCCUGGAUAUCUGGCUCACGGGGAGCUUGGAGGACUCUCAAGCUUGCCUCCUUCAUGGCAGGGGACAUAGUGAGGCCUGAAUUUUCUCUUUCAGCAGCACCUGAGAUGGCCAUUAAUCUUGCUGCACUUGAAAAAAGCACUCUCCAGGGAGAUUUAGGAUGGCAACUUCCAGUGCCUACCUUAAGGGUAUCAACUAGCCAGAUCCUUCUUCCUGUAGGCUGGCUAAGACCCAGGAUUCCCAGAGGAAAAGGGAGGCUGAGGAGAGGAACUAGCCUCAGGGAGAAGUUCCCAGAUGACAGUGACAAACUCCUUUCCAUCUUCCAUCCUGCCUUGCUUAGAGGGUCCUCUGGGAGAACGUCCAGGAGCAGUGCUCACAGCGCAGCUCCCAGCCUUGUGCUGUGGCCCUGCAGGCUGGAUCUGACCACUUAGGUGUGGAUCUUCAGACCUGUGGCCCUCCUGAUGCCGGACAGCUGGAUCCGAGGCACUCUGCUGGGGGCAGGGCUUUGCAGCAUCCUGAGAAAAAGAAAGAAGAAGAAAAGAAGAAGAAAAAACUACAACAAAAUUUCAAAACAUGUCAAUCAGGAGGCAACAAUGGUAAUACAUUGCGCACUGUCAUCCCCAAAUCAUUGACCCAGAGCUCAAGACAUCUGCCUUCAAUUGUCCGAACAAUACCAGGUGUCAAGGGUACUGGAGCAUCCCAGCAAGUGGUCAACUGGAGGUUAGCGAGUGGAGGAAGUGAGCUGAUUCUUAAGGAUGAAAAGAGAGCAUCCCAAGUUGGCACACGACCUUUGCCUCCCAGCACAUUGACCAGGAAGAAUUGCUCCAGGCUUCAGACUGCAGGAAGACAGAUUCUAGGGUGUGACCUGCAGCUGACAAUCAUUAAGAUGUUAUAUUUAAUGAAGCACCUGACUAAAGGCUUCAGAGAAUAGCUUCAAAGCUAGAUGCAAUGAACUCCAAGAUUGCAAAAUGUGUUGUCUGCGCUUUUGUCUGUAGCCUGUGACACUGCUUGCUAUAGCCAAAAUAGAACAACAACAACCACCAAAUCCUUCUUUCAAAGCAAAAGAAGAAUAUGGGAAAAGGGUUAGAAGGUUUGGAGUUUCUAUCUGUGCUCAUUUCUCUAACAUUGGCCAAGAUAUAAACCCCUCUCAUGUAAAACAGAAAACAUGGGGCUGGGGAUUUAGCUCAGCGGCAUAAGCGCCUGCCUUGCAAGCAGGCAGUUGUGAGUUCGAUCCCCGUUACCGAUAAAAACGAAAAAAGACCAAAAAAAAAAAAAAAACAGAAAACACACAGGCAGUCACCCUCUCUCAGUGGGUGAACGUGAGGACUAUGAUUAGAAACUGUUGCAAUAGAGGAGGAGCACUGGCCUGGCAAGCGCAAGGUCGUGGGUUCAAUCCCUGGUACCAGAACAAAACAAAACACCCAAAGAGAGAGAGGUGGAAAAAGGGAACAAAAAGGUAGAUAUCAUGAUUUGGGUGACAUACUCGGGCAUGGCCUCCACAGAAUAACGCCCUUCUUUCCCCUACAUCCUUUCCUAAUUCGAAUCAGAUUGAGACAGAUAAUCUGAUCCAAAUCCGAUACCCAGUUCUUUCACUGUAUAAAAAUGUCUUUCUCAGCCCGGCAUGGUGGUACACACCUGUAAUCUCAGCAUUCAGGAGGCUGAGACAGGAGGAUCACCAUGAGUUCGAGGCCAGCUUGAACUGCAUAACAAGAUCCUGUCUCAAAUAAAUAAAUAAAAUAAUUUUUGUCAAGCAUAGCUGUCCUACUAAAACAGUUAUAUUUUUGAGGAUCAUUUUGAUCUGGUCUUUUCUGUGGUUUUCACUUUAGCUGUCUGCUCAUUACGUUAGUAUAUCCACAAAUUCAGUGCAAUAAAUCCCAGUAGAGUUCAAACUCUGAGAAUAAGAAUCUUUGUCUAUCAUGUUCAUGGCUAUGUCUCUUUGCCGCAUAAUAGAUGCUUGACAUGUAUUUUUCAUAUGAGAAAAAAAUCACUGUUGAGCAAAAGAUAUGUUGACAGAAAUUGGUAAAGGGACAUCACACUUCUGAGCUGUGAUCAAGUCCUUGAAGCUCUGGGUUGUCCAUGGAGGUGUCUUCUGGGAUUUGGGGGUCUCCCCCUAGGUCAGCUCUGAUAGAGCUACAGACACAGAGUCCAUCCAGAGUAUGUGGCUGGAUUCUUCUUCUUCCUCCUUGUCUUCCUCCUCCUCUUCCUCCUCCUCCUCCUCUUCCUCCUCCUCCUCCCCCCUUCUUCUUCUUUUUCGUUUUCUUAUUCUUCUUCUUCUUUGUACUGGAAAUCAAACUCCGAACCUCUCAAAUAAAUGUUGGGAUUACAGGCAUGUGCUGCCAUGCCUAUGCUAUGUGGUUGGAUUCUUAAGACUACUUACAAGAAUCCAUAAAACCCAAAAAGCACAUCUAUUCAAAAGAAACACAGCCCUCCUUGCUAUAAGCACCAGAAUAAAACUUUUCCUCGUGAUCCUCACAGAGAGCAUGUUGCAUUAAUGACCUUGCCAUGUUGUCACCACGUCCCCAACGAGACAGUCAAUGACAGUUUCUGUGGCUAUUUUAGGACAGGUGGGUGCUGCUCCCUGGAGGUGCACUUGGAAAUCCUUAGCCUACCUGUGGAUGUCCCAAGGGUGGCUCCCUCCUUAACUAUUGCCUCCCUUCCUGGUUGACCAUGCGGAAUGCCCUCUGGGAGCAGUUGGAUGCCCUGGGGGAACUUCAUUCUUGAUUAGAAACAGCACUAGAAGUUAAAGCCACACUGACACACACUCUGUACUUUCUCCCUGGCCUACUUCUCACCCCCAAAGAUGUUACAUCUAAAAGAUCAUUCCACCUAGAGGGAACCCAAAGGGAUGGAAAAAUGACUUCUUAUUUUCUAAAAUAAGUGGAUGGAAAAAUGAAAACAAAACUAAACAACAACAAAAACCCAGCAACCACCAUCCAAUUUGAUGCUGGUGACCUUUAUUUCCUUGCAAAUUUAAACAUCAUUUGCCUAAUAAAAUGAAGAGUCCAUAUACAGGACUGGGUCUCACAAAAAUACAAUUUUUCCUUCUCUCUAACAUAUUUUUCUGGGGUGGUACAGUACUGGAAAAGUCACUACUGUAACUCAAAAGGAGCAUGUCUAAAAUUCCUGGGCCCAUGGAGAAUCUUGGGCCCAAGAAAGUAUUUUUCUUUGGAGCAGCAAAAUACAUUUCAGACUGAUCAUUUAGUCAUUUAAAGUCCCCAAAGCUAGAGCCAGAAUAAUUAGGGAUGCUGGCAGGGUAGCAGGGAAAAAACCUCUCUCCCAAGGCCUUGUUCUGUUCCUGUGAGACUGCCAGUUCUGCCCUUGGUCCAGUGAGAGACUGUGUAAUCCUGACACCCUGGGAGCAUAGCAGCCUUGAAAGAGUUUGCCUCCUUCAACCUGGCCUGGCAGGUCUUGAAAACAAAAAACCACUCGACUGUCCAUAAAACCAGCUUGGAGCACAUUCUGAUGGAUUUAAAGUUAUAAUUCACUCACCUACCUGACCUGGUGGCUACGAAGUGGCUCUUUACUCUUUUUUGUUUGUUUGUUUUUGAGACAGGAUCUCACAGUGUAGCCCAGGUUGGCUUUGAAUUAACUAUGCAGCUCAGGCUGACCUCGAACUUAUGGCAAUCCUUCUGCCUCAGGCUCCUGAGUGCUGGGAUUGAGGGCAUAUACCACCAUGCCUGGCUCCUUUCUACUCAUUUGUAUAAAUAGGAUUUCUGAGAUAUGUUUGGGUUUUAUGUUUUCCUUUCCUUCAUUGUAACAAAGAAGACAUAAAGGACGUGCAAGUUCCCAUGAGGUUGGUAGCACAAGCUGUGAACUGACUUCAGCAUCACUGCAAGUGUGGGUCACACUGACCAAAGAGCUUCCGGCCAGGGCGGGUGAGGGACCCUGGGGAUGGAUGCCUUUCCCUGUCCCAAUGGGGUAGGAAAGCUCUAAUUUCCCCUCUGGCCUCAUCAAAUAGACUUGCCUCUCUCCUACAUUAUGAUUGAAAGGAGUUAGGAAAAUUCUGUUCCCAGUUCUUUAUCUUUUAAAUGUCUUCAAUGUUAGGUCUUUGUUUCCUACUGAAAACUGUUUUAAGAGUACCCUGAGGGUUUUGCCUGAAACAUGACCAACUGUCUAGUAGGGACAAUGUCUAGGGGGAAGACAAAGCUCUUGGAGAAGAACCAUCAGGUGGGCUGGAAGACAGGAAGAACAGGGUGUUGAAAGGGAAGGAAAUAUUUUAUCUGCAGAUGGUCCUGACUCCCCAAGCCACUAGCAAGACAAAAACAAGGCUACUGUGCCCCUGCUGAGUUGAGGACAUAGCAGGAUGGGGAAGGAAGGAGAGGACAAAAAGGAAAGGAAGGAGAAAGGAAGCAGAAAGAAAGAAGAAGGUGUAGCUUCAGAGUUCAUCAGUGGGCCGUGCCUUGUGGGCCCAGUGACGGCUGCUGACUGCUGGUCCAUGACAGUGGUGAGGUGGCAUUCAUCUGGCCAGGGUCACAGGGUUCAAAUCCCUGUCCUGUAACAACAGCCUGCAUGACCUCUGGAGUUUUUUAUCCAUAAGAAGAUGAGGUUGGCCACAUAGUCCAAAGGUUGCUUCCAACUGGCACAGUGGCUGUGUUGUGAAAUGGGUGACUAUUUUAACCGGCCAGGACUCCACUACCCGGAGGCGGCCACGCCUUACCCGGAAGAUAUCCUAAUUAACCCAAGGGGGUGUAUACAUUCCCCAGCCCCAAUGCUGAGUCUCUGUUGGUAGAAAGUUCAUAGGAAAAGUGCUUGGAAAUUGUAGCUCAGCUCAAUUCCUUUUUUUAACCUUGAGAUAAGAAUGUCUUUGUUUGGGUCUCCAGCAAGUCUCAAGUUACAUAACUCACUUUUACUAAUACUCUCCCUGACUGUUUUACAUUCAGCUUUUUACUUGCCCUGGUUUGCUGGCUUUAAUUAAAUAGGUGGCCUUGAAUUUAUGCUAAUUUUUUUCUCUUUCUCUUCAGAUCUUGACAGAAUAAUAGCAUCAGUUUGUUUAGUAAACACAGAGACCAGUUCCACCAUUCAGGGCCUGACUAAUGGCCUGAGAGGACUCUGUGAAAGCUUUGGGCUUGGUUCAGGAAAAGCUUUCAAGAGAACAGCCCAAAGCCAUUUCCCUUAGCAAGCCAGGCAACUUUAUUCUGGUUUGUGGAGCAAACUCCUCCCCCACCCCAAAAUUCAGCAUCUAUUCUUCUAAAUGGGGGGUCCUGAGGAUGUGCCCAGAGUAGCUCCCAUUCCCUGCCCUAUGCCCUUUAAAACUGUUUUCAUGAUGUAUUAUAUUAUUUGAAAUGAUCAUAUUUACAUAUUUUUAUUGAUUAUCUCUGUCCAGCAACAAGCCCCCCCAGCACUGGAGUAUGUGAACUCCCUGAAGAGCAGGGGUUACUGUACCCACAGUUACGCUUUGCACAGGGUCAGGGCAUGAUCAUGCAGCCUAUGACCAAGUAUGGGCUUGGCAGUGGACUUGCUGGGACAGGGGCAUCUAUAAUAACAAACUUGUUUGGAGAUACAUUUGUCACUGGACAGGGUCCGAGCAAGUCCCCUAGGUCAGUGAUAGGGAACCUGGACUUGCCCCUCUCAUAGGGUGGACCGUACUGAUAUAGGAGAAACAGAGCUCCCACCCUGCUAGAUGUCAGAUGCACUGAGUUUGUGUUCCCAGAGAUCGAAGAGUGAAUUCUAAGGAAAAAUGGAGGGUUAGGGUAGGAAAGGUUUAUUGAGAGAGAGUUCCUGACAGGAGGGGGGCCCUAAAGUGGGUUGCAACAGAGGUCAUUUCUCUAUAGGCUGAAAUCAUGACAUGGGAGCAAUGUAGUUUAACUAAAAUCAACCAACAAAAUUACAAGUAUAAAAAAAAAAAAGAUUACAAGCGUAGUUGCUUAACUAAUAUCGAUCCAAUAGGGGAAGCGGGCAUAAGGCACAUAACAAGGUAUAAGCUGAUGUUAACCUGAUGUUAUCUAUGAUUUCUAAAACAGGAACAUUUGGGAAAGGAAUGGGUCUAGGUGUUCCAGUCACCCAUCUGGUUAUCUGAUGCAUAUUUGGGUUUAAUUGGCUAGGAAGAAACAAUUCAGAGUAGUCUUAAAUUUCCUUUCAUCCCUUAGGGAGGUAUGCUAGUCUGGCCAUUGUGACUUUAUCAAGAGGCCUUGCCGUCUCCCAGAUGUGCCGCAUCACUGUUUUGCUAUGUUCUUAUCUUCUGCAUUGACUGCCUUGUCUGACCACCUAUGUAUUAAUUUUUACCUAACUUAGCUGCCUAGAAUAACAUUGUUACAGGCAGCUGAGUUAGUUAGAAAUAUUAUAGGCAGCCAGACAGGGCUGGGCCCUCCAAGGAGCCAGGGCAGAUGUUCAGAUACCUUGCAACCUUGGGAGAGAGAAACAUCUCCGCUGUGGGCCAGAUCUCAAGACAAAAGGCAAAGCACCCACAUCCUCAGGAUUGAUAGUCCAAAUAGUUCUUUAUCACCCUAAGGAAGUGAGGAGUCACCAUUCCAACCCCCUCCAGGAAGAGUUACUGCUAACCCUCCCCUGAUUGUUCCUGAUACAAUUUUACUUGAGCAGUUAAUCUUAUUGGUUGACCACAGUUCUGUCCUACCUUAGGCUGACCUUGUAAAUUCCCAGUCUACUUUGGAUUCAUCUGAUCUUGUGGUUUUACUCUAUAAAAGUCCCCAGAAAAGACAGAGUCCUUAGCAGCCCUCUUGAGACCCUUCUGUUACUCAGACAGUAGUUUUCUUUCUCUUAAUAAAAAUAUCCUGCUCUUAACCUCUCUUGUUCCUAAAAUUCUCUGAUUUUAGAAAACAUGAUCUUGUGUGGGACACAUGGUAAGUUGGGAGUUUCAUUGCCCCUAUAUCAGUAUCACAGAAAAGGAGUUUGCAGGAUGCAUCAGGAGAAAGUAUUUAAAAAGUAAAGUCUUAAAAAAAUACAGUGUGGGUACUCAAAAGGUGAGAGGUGCAUAAUAGACUUGAGCUGGUGUGUUUUUGUGUGGUAGAAAUGGGUGGAAUUGGUGACUCUACAAAAAGUUUAGGCUUGGCCCACCCAUAGGCAGAAAAGUAAUAAUAGCUCAUCUUAUAAGAGAAAGGUACAGCCCGAUUUAAAUUAUUUUAUUUUUUAAAAGAUAGAUGGUAUUUUGCCUUGGAACAUUUUUUGAAACCUUUGAACUUGUUUCUCUUAAGGUAAGGUUUCUGCCUUUUAGAUGAUCAACUAAGCUAACUUAUUGACUUAGAGUACAGUAUCUUUUUUUUUUUUUUGUCCUUUUUUGUGAUAGGGUCUCGCUAUGCAGUUCAGGCUGGCCUUGAGUUUACUUUGUAGCCCAGGCUGGUCUCGAACUCUCAACGAUCCUCCCACCUCAGCCUCCCGAGUGCUGGGAUUACAGGCCUGAGUCACCAUGCCCAACUUUAGGGUAAGUAAAGGAUUUUGAUAUGAUUGACCUGGAAGAAAAACAGAACAAACAAGACUAGAAUACAUAUAUGGGUAACUUUGGAUAAGCAUGUGCUAAAGUCGAGGUCUUCUUAAAAGUACAAUUUUUAAAUUAUGACUUUCCUUAUCGUCUUACUAUGUAUCUGUAUUUCUUUUAUCCUACCUCAUGUUGGCAAAAUUAGAAGUUUUGUGAAAUCCAACUUUCUCUCCUAUGGGUGUUUGUAUUACCUUACAUAUUGAACUCGUGGUCAAAAUGAAGUGGUAAACCAGGAGGAGGGGGUUAGCAGAGUUUUAUUGACGACACAAAGAAUAGCUCCAGGGUUUCCGGAAGUGCCCUGAAUGGAUGGCCGAUGGCCAUGGCUUCUCAAUGCAGAGCUAUUUAUAGAAAAGCAGAGCAUCAGAAUUGCUCAGUUGUUCAGUGGUUGCCUGUCACAGGUGGCUCUGCAGAUUUAAAAUGACCUUUUGGAACUCAGGCUCUCUAAUCUUUACAGUUCUUCAGCAUGCAGGGUUUAAAGGAAACUGGGAUUUUAGAGGAAAAACUGGUUAUUUGGCAUUUUAAAUUCCUGAAAACCAGAGCUCAGUAGGGAUGGCUGCACAGGGAAGGGGCUCCAUUCCAUGUUGCCAGAAGAAGUGGGACCCCAGGUCCCACUUCACCUGGCCUAGUCAAGGGAACUGUACAAGGGCUCCUCUUCAAAAUUUCCUGUAUUAUGGUAAUGCUUUUAACUGUGCUCAUUUUGUAAGGGCCCUUCCCCUCGUUCCUGGAGUGUUUCUAUGUUAUGAUAAACAAUUCCUUUGUCUCAACAAAUCUGUUUAAGACUAGCCUGCGUGCUGGUAUAUAACUCAAUACAUGUAACCAAUUAGGUAAUGUUUUGUCUAUUGUUUUGUACCUCCCACUUCUAAAUGCUAUCUAAACUAAACUCUAAAUUAAGAGCUGUUGCCUUUGUGGAAUUAUCCCACAGGCAGUCCACUGGUGUGAAGAUUCAACAGUCUGCAGGGUAAAGAUUAAAUGUUGCCUCCUUAUCA